AAUGAACGCUGGCGGCAGGCCUAAAACAUGCAAGUCGAACGCUCUAGCAAUAGAGAGUGGCGCACGGGUGAGUAACACGUGGGAAUAUGCCUUUUGGUACGGAACAACGUCUGGAAACGGACGCUAAUACCGUAUGGUCCCUCCGGGGUAAAGAUUUAUCGCCAAAAGAUUAGCCCGCGUCUGAUUAGCUAGUUGGUGAGGUAAUGGCUCACCAAGGCGACGAUCAGUAGCUGGUCUGAGAGGACGAUCAGCCACACUGGGACUGAGACACGGCCCAGACCCCUACGGGAGGCAGCAGUUAGGAAUAUUGGACAAUGGGCGCAAGCUUGAUCCAGCCAUGCCGCGUGAGUGAUGAAGGCCUUCGGGUUGUAAAGCUCUUUAGUCCACGAAUAUAAUGACUGUAGUGGAAGAAUAAGCCCCGGCUAACUUCGUGCCAGCAGCCGCGGUAAGAC
rnacentral:rRNA from 1 species